rnacentral:lncRNA from 1 species
UUUAAUUUAAUUUAAUUUAAUAGAAAUAAAAAUAAAAAUAAUAAUAAAAUAGGGUAAAAUUAUUUUUGGGAUUUAAUUGAAAUUGAUUUUGGGGAAAGGGGGUGAAAAUUUGAAUUCUGGGGGUGUUUUUGAAAAGAAAAUCGAAAAUUGGAGAUCAAAACGCAAUUUAGAAAAAUAGUGCUAUGUCAGCAGCCACGUCAGCAGCCCGGUCAGCAACCCCGGAGGACACACCGUGUGGCAGGGUGCUGACGCGCGAAGCCACGUGGGACGGAGACACGUGGGUGAUCCGUGUGCGCGCGAUCAGACGGCCCAGAUUCGUUCCCGCGCGCACGGACGGUACAGAUCAAAAGCGCGCAUGGACGGCCCAGAUCUCACGCGUGCGAACGGCCCAUAUUUGAUCAUGAUGGACGGCUCAGAUUAAAAGGGGAAGGUUAUAAAUAAUCGCAUCCACAUCCAACCCCAAACCCUAGCCGCCAGAAUCCUCGCUGGAGAAGACGACCCAGCCACUGGAGAAAUCGGCCGCCGCCAUCCGCUGCCGAACCAGAGGAUUUUUCAGCCGCCAAACGAGGUAAAAUUUCUCCCAUUGGUUUGUUUUUCGAUGCUGAACUUCCAUGUGGCCAAAUCGGAGCCAAACCACCUGCCAAUUGGCCGAAAAAUACCGCCGAAGUCCAGCGGCGCCGUUGCGGGUUUCUUCGAUUUUUGCCUCCGAUGAGGCCCUUCCCGUUUCCCGUUCGAUGUAAUUUUUAUACCACUGUGACCACCGUCCUUUUCUUUACGGGUUGACCGGAGUAAAACACCAAAUUGCAACUCGUGCCGGAGGAGCCGCCGCACCCGAGAGUUUCGCCGCCGGUAAGUCUCGAUUUUCUAGAAUUUUUUGGCCCACCGAGGGCCCUAGGGGUGUUUUAUCACAGGAACCAAUGCAAGUUUGGUCGAAAACGGCCAACCCAAGGCAGAUCACCGCCGUGGGCGGCGACGACGUCACCGGAGCACGGCGGAGACGCCGUGCCGGAAUUCUGAAAUUGGUCGAAAGGGCCCUGGGUUUGAUUUGGAGUUUUUUGGGGACAUGUGCAAGUACCGGAAGUGUGUUUCAAUUUCCGAGGAAAAAUUCAGGGAAUCUAGGGACUGCCCGUAAGCGCAGUGAGAACCCGAUUUCAGACUCCAAAACAAGUAAGGAUCUCUCACCCUAUUUCCUAUUACGGCAUUAAAGCUUAAUAAAUGAUAAAACAGUAUUUAUGAAUUAAUAUAUAUGUAUAAUUAAUUAAGGUGUCUAAUGGGGCAC